UAGGCAUAACUCCGACCGGGUGUCGGGUUGAAAGCAACGUCCACUUUCUGCUGCCACGUAACUCUUAACUUUUCUACUAAAACUGAUUAGUAGCUAAAUUAAUGCACUCAUAUUAGUACAAACGCCAGUUCGACGGUGAUAAUAUAAUAUAUCUUCCUAGUGAAAAAGGUGUGGUGCAAAGGUUACCAUGGAUAUUGAAAACAGUAAUGAGGAUGAAGAACCCAAAAAUGACAAAACCAAGAAUGACGAAACCAAGAAUGAUAAAACCAAGUGCAAAGUCUGCGGCGAAAUCGUUCUUAGCAAAAACUUGAAAGACCACAGAACAACUUUCAAACACAUAGAAGCUCAGAAGCAGAAGUACGGAGAAACCAAAUGCACCACAUGCAAGGAAAAGUUUCCCAAUGGGUACUGGAAGCAGCACAAGAACACCAAAACACACAUCUUAGCUGAACAACAAAAAGAAAUCAGCAAGAUCGUUAAAACCAUGAAAGAGGGCGAAACCGAGGUGUACACUCUUCGUCCAGGCUCUAACGAAAACCGACACUACAUCAACAUUUUGACCACAUUUCUGGCAGUCCGAUUCGCUUUGAGCACCAAUCAAGAUUUCAAAAUCUCGGUUAACAACGACAAGUGGAACGAUUUUGGAGAUAUCGUCUUCGAGUUUGACCACCCUAAAAAAACAAUCGAAACAAUUUGCUGCAAGAAAAUCGAAAUUAAGUAUAAGUACACCCCGGUUGUGCUCACCGCGGAGUCGGGGAAACUGAGCCUUAAAGAACAGUGCGAAAUUUUGAAAAAACUAAAACCCAAAGACGAUUUCGUCAACACGAAUUUUAAAUUGUACACAGUUUCGAGUGUCGAGGUUGACAAAAACCCGGAAGUGGUUUACGACGAGAGUAAUAUCCAGAAGUGGCAAUCCGAUGAUAAAGAAUCGUGGAAAGGGGUGAAAGUUGAAAUCAAGCAGUCCAAAUCCAAGAAGAAUGAUUUGUUCAACACGACGGACGAUGCUGAUGAUGUUUGUACCUUCCAGAUGGUGAACCAUAGGGAUGAUAGUGUUAAUGAAGAUUUGUCGAAGUUCCAGAUGUACAUUAAACAGAAAAGAAGACCGGAAAUGAUGCUCUUCAUUGGCACAAUCAUCAAGGAUAAGUUGAAUAUCGAUUUUGACAUUUCGGAUGAAUUGCUCAAGUACAUUAGAUACAAAUUUAAGACCGACAAGGUCCUUAAAAAACACGAACGUGGUCUGAAAGUAACUAGAGAAAACGUGUUGGUGAAAAUCGCAGAAAUCUUGCUGACGCCAUUUCUGGUUGUUCCGCACGACCUAAUCGAAGAGAAAAAUUUAGAUUUGUGGAACGACUCAAUCAAAGAAUUUGAUAUCACGGUCCUUAAACACGAGGAAGAUAUCGUUACAAAAAUCUACAAAGGUAUUAAUCACGUUCUGAAACAAGAAAUUAACUACUCUUUGAGUAUCUUCCAUGAAGUCAAAAUCGACACCGAAAAUAUAACCAACGAAAGACUAAAAAAGAAACUCUUUGGGUACGACGGUUCUCUCAAAUUCUUGUAUCUAGCUUUGUGGAAAUCAAGUCUAACACCCUUGAUUCUGAGAGCCCAAGACCACAAACAACUGCGUCUCAUCUGUGACAUUGUAACUUUUCUCAAACAAGAAAACUUUCUUUUGAAGUUUGUGAUAACCACUGACCUCAAACCAGAUCACCGGUACUUCUCAUAAAAACUAAAAGUGUUUUUGAACAUGUCUGAUCUCAAACUUCUUGAAAACGUGGUUUUGGAGAAGAUUCUUUCAAACAAGAUAAAAUUGGUGAACUUGAAUUGUCAAGUAAGUUUGAAAGAAAUCGACGAGUUGAAUUGUGAUUUUUUGAAGAAGCUGAGUCCUGAUGCUUUUUUGAACAUACUUUUCGAUGAUUAUUCUUUUGUCAAUGUUCAGGUACCGAUGACGAACGAGAUUGACGACAAUACUAUAGUUCUUGGUGAAAACGUUAUCAGACAGGUGGCACAGGAAUUGAAUGAAAGAGAGGGAAGCACUGAGAACGAACUGAAGUAUCUGGUUAGUGUAGACGAUGAACCGAUUUACAUUCACGUGCCACCACAACUUUAAUCACACUAAGUAAUAAUAAAUGAUUCCUGUUUGUCUUAUCAGUGUUUAAAUUUUUACGACUUAUCCCCUCUCGACUUAUCACUGGUUGUCCAAUUCGCUCUAUUCUUGUUACAAUAGAGCCGCUGCAAUGUCCACAAUUGACGAAAAGUUCAAGUUGCCUUCUAGACUCACCCCCACGCAGAAAAAUGUUUGGAUAGAAUAUGUCCAGCUAGCUGAGGACUACAAGCCCUUGAAUUUAGGGCUAGGGUUCCCAGACUACCCUCCUCCGAACUACGUCACCCAAACUUUAGCCCAGAUUGCUAAAAGUGGUGAUUGUCUUCUCCAUCAGUACACUCGGGAUUAUGGUCACCCUCGACUUGUGUCCGCCCUUUCCCAACUCUACUCCAGACUAGUAAAGCGCCCAAUUAACCCUCAAACCGAAAUUUUGACCACCGUUGGAGCCUUCGAAGCUCUUUUUUCGACCAUAAUUGGCCACGUAGACCAAGGGGAUGAAGUCAUCAUUAUUGAACCCUUCUUCGAGUGUUACGAGCCUAUGGUCAAAAUGGCUGGAGGCGUCCCCAAAUUUAGCUAUUGGAUUGGAAAAGGAGCUCGAACGUCUAGAUCGGGAUGAUUGUUAUUUUAAUUCUACUUCCUCGGAGCUGGUGGUUAAGAGGGACUUCAGGGAGUCCCAGAUUGAUCUGAGUUCGGAAAAGGAUAAAUGGAAGGACUAUCGUUUUACCAAGUGGAUGACCAAGAAUCUGGGUUUGUAGGGGAUACCACCGUCUGCGUUUUACCCUGAGAGGGAGAUUUUUGCGGCAAUUUUUAUCUACUAUUAAUUGAUUGUUAUUAUUAUUAUUAUUAAAGAAAGAUAUAGACAUUUCAAGGGUCACCAUUGACAAUUCGACAACUAUACAUUUUUCAAAAUAAAAACUAAACAUGAAUUAAUUCGUUUGUGGUUUGCUAGUUCACUUUAGGGAUUACUAAAACUACUGACAUAGUAGCAAAAUUUGAUGAUGACGUCAGCAACCCACUAUACAGGAGAAGUAGCGUUCCAAGUCGCGCCCUCCAUUGGCCUAAAACUACACACUCUGACCCUAAGUAAUCAAGGGGUUGUUGUUUUCAGCAUUUGAGCCAGCUUUCAGAACCGUUAUUAUAAAGAGUAAAGUUUCGUCGUGACUACAAAACAGACUUUCUACAGUUCGGAAAAGUACGUCUUUGCUCUUUUUUAGGUACACUGGUAGUGAACGCCCCCCAGCCACGUUGAAGAAAUGACAGAGGUUGCAAUUCCAGAAAUGAUCACCAAAACACGUGUAAAAAAGCAGCCAAAAAUGAAAAAAUAUGAACUACUGAACAUCAUGCGCUUGAAAUUAGAGUCCCAAUCUUACAGAAUCAUUACCGAAUUAAUCGGGACUCUUCCGUCCUUAACACUUUAUUGACAAAGUAGAUUGUCAAGUCGUGACGGAUGUUAACACUAGAACCCAAAAUAGUCUGAUCAUUUUAUAAAAUAUUAGAGUUUUUGACGCAAUUAUUUUGUCCAACAAUACAGUGUAACUACCAAUAAAUAAGUACGCAACUUUACAGUGUAA